rnacentral:rRNA from 1 species
ACGGAAGGCAGCAGUGGGGAAUAUUGCACAAUGGGCGCAAGCCUGAUGCAGCGACGCCGCGUGAAGGAUGAAGGUCUUCGGAUUGUAAACUUCUAUCAGCAGGGAAGAAAAGAAACUUAAGUUUCUACAAUGACGGUACCUGACUAAGAAGCUCCGGCUAACUACGUGCCAGCAGCCGCGGUAAUACGUAGGGAGCGAGCGUUAUCCGGAUUUACUGGGUGUAAAGGGUGCGUAGGCGGCCUGGCAAGUUAGAAGUGAAAUUUUGGGGCUCAACCCCUAAGCUGCUUCUAAAACUACCGGGCUAGAGUGCAGGAGAGGAAAGCGGAACUCCACGUGUAGCGGUGAAAUGCGUAGAGAUGUGGAGGAACACCAGUAGCGAAGGCGGCUUUCUGGACUGUAACUGACGCUGAGGCACGAAAGCGUGGGGAGCAAACAGGAUUAGAUACCCGUA